ACCUCCUACGGGAGGCAGCAGUGGGGAAUUUUGGACAAUGGGCGAAAGCCUGAUCCAGCAAUGCCGCGUGAGUGACGAAGGCCUUCGGGUUGUAAAGCUCUUUUGUCAGGGAAGACACGGUGAAAGCUAAUAUCUUUUGCUAAUGACGAUACCUGAAGACUAAGCACCGGCUAACUACGUGCCAGCAGCCGCGGUAAUACGUAGGGUGCAAGCGUUAAUCGGAAUUACUGGGCGUAAAGCGUGCGCAGGCGGUUUUGUAAGUCUGAUGUGAAAUCCCCGGGCUCAACCUGGGAAUUGCAUUGGAGACUGCAAGGCUAGAAUCUGGCAGAGGGGGGUAGAAUUCCACGUGUAGCAGUGAAAUGCGUAGAUAUGUGGAGGAACACCGAUGGCGAAGGCAGCCCCCUGGGUCAAGAGUGACGCUCAUGCACGAAAGCGUGGGGGGCAAAAAGGAGUAGAUACCCUAGUAGUCCCA
rnacentral:rRNA from 1 species